AGUGAACGCUGGCGGUAGGCCUAACACAUGCAAGUCGAACGGCAGCACAGUAAGAGCUUGCUCUUACGGGUGGCGAGUGGCGGACGGGUGAGGAAUACAUCGGAAUCUACUUUUUCGUGGGGGAUAACGUAGGGAAACUCACGCUAAUACCGCAUACGACCUACGGGUGAAAGCAGGGGAUCUUCGGACCUUGCGCGAUUGAAUGAGCCGAUGUCGGAUUAGCUAGUUGGCGGGGUAAAGGCCCACCAAGGCGACGAUCCGUAGCUGGUCUGAGAGGAUGGUCAGCCACACUGGAACUGAGACACGGUCCAGACUCCUACGGGAGGCAGCAGUGGGGAAUAUUGGACAAUGGGCGCAAGCCUGAUCCAGCCAUACCGCGUGGGUGAAGAAGGCCUUCGGGUUGUAAAGCCCUUUUGUUGGGAAAGAAAAGCAGCAGGUUAAUACCCCGCUGUUCUGACGGUACCCAAAGAAUAAGCACCGGCUAACUUCGUG
rnacentral:rRNA from 1 species